rnacentral:rRNA from 1 species
UAGGGAAUCUUCGGCAAUGGGGGCGAACCCUGACCGAGCAACGCCGCGUGAGUGAAGAAGGUUUUCGGAUCGUAAAGCUCUGUUGUAAGAGAAGAACGUGUGUGAGAGUGGAAAGUUCACACAGUGACGGUAACUUACCAGAAAGGGACGGCUAACUACGUGCCAG